rnacentral:rRNA from 1 species
UGGGGAAUUUUGGACAAUGGGCGAAAGCCUGAUCCAGCAAUGCCGCGUGUGUGAAGAAGGCCUUCGGGUUGUAAAGCACUUUUGUCCGGAAAGAAAUCCUUGGCUCUAAUACAGUCGGGGGAUGACGGUACCGGAAGAAUAAGCACCGGCUAACUACGUGCCAGCAGCCGCGGUAAUACGUAGGGUGCAAGCGUUAAUCGGAAUUACUGGGCGUAAAGCGUGCGCAGGCGGUUUGCUAAGACCGAUGUGAAAUCCCCGGGCUCAACCUGGGAACUGCAUUGGUGACUGGCAGGCUAGAGUAUGGCAGAGGGGGGUAGAAUUCCACGUGUAGCAGUGAAAUGCGUAGAGAUGUGGAGGAAUACCGAUGGCGAAGGCAGCCCCCUGGGCCAAAUACUGACGCUCAUGCACGAAAAGCGUGGGGAGCAAACAGGAUUAGAUACCCUGGUAGUCCACGCCCUAAAACGAUGUCAACUAGUUGUUGGGGAUUCAUUUCCUUAGUAACGUAGCUAACGCGUGAAGUUGACCGCCUGGGGAGUACGGUCGCAAGAUUAAAACUUAAAGGAAUUGACGGGGUCAUAGCUGUUUCCU